GUAGGUGGCAAGCGUUGUCCGGAAUUAUUGGGCGUAAAGCGCGCGCAGGCGGUUCUUUAAGUCUGAUGUGAAAGCCCACGGCUCAACCGUGGAGGGUCAUUGGAAACUGGAGAACUUGAGUACAGAAGAGGAAAGCGGAAUUCCACGUGUAGCGGUGAAAUGCGUAGAGAUGUGGAGGAACACCAGUGGCGAAGGCGGCUUUCUGGUCUGUAACUGACGCUGAGGCGCGAAAGCGUGGGGAGCAAACAGGAUUAGAUACCCUGGUAGUCCCACGCCGUAAACGAUGAGUGCUAAGUGCUAGGGGGUUUCCGCCCCGUUAGUGCUGCAGCUAACGCAUUAAGCACUCCGCCUGGGGAGUACGGCCGCAAGGCUG
rnacentral:rRNA from 1 species